rnacentral:rRNA from 1 species
GACGAACGCUGGCGGCGUGCUUAACACAUGCAAGUCGAGCGGUAAGGCCCUUUCGGGGGUACACGAGCGGCGAACGGGUGAGUAACACGCGGGUGACCUGCCCUUAGCUCUGGGAUAAGCCUGGGAAACUGGGUCUAAUACCGGAUAUGACUCCAUAACGCAUGUUGUGGGGUGGAAAGCCUUGUGCGGCUAGGGGAUGGGCCCGCGGCCUAUCAGCUUGUUGGUGGGGUGAUGGCCACCAAGGCGACGACGGGUAGCCGGCCUGAGAGGGCGACCGGCCACACUGGGACUGAGACACGGCCCAGACUCCUACGGGAGGCAGCAGUGGGGAAUCUUGCGCAGUGGGCGAAAGCCUGACGCAGCGACGCC